GACAGAGGCCUCAAGCGUUAGGCGGAAUCACUGGGCUUAAAGCGUGUGUAGGCGGACUUCUAAGUGCCUUGUGAAAUCCCACGGCUCAACCGUGGAACUGCUGGGCAUACUGGGAGUCUUGGGCCAUUCAGGGGCAACUGGAACAAGCGGUGGAGCGGUGAAAUGCGUAGAUAUCAGGAGGAACACCGGCGGCGAAGGCGGCCCUCUGGAUCGUUGCUGACGCUGAGACGCGAAAGCGUGGGGAGCAAACAGG
rnacentral:rRNA from 1 species